rnacentral:lncRNA from 1 species
GUCCCCUCGGGUGCUCCAGGUGAUGCCCCAGUUCACCUUCGCUUGCUUCUGCGGGCUGCAUGGCUUCUGCAAGAUGAAGAGGAAGAAGGAGGAACCCAGCGGGGAGCAGGAGACGGCGGUGUGAGCAGCAGGGACAGGAGUGGGACACCGGAGCUGCUGGGGGGCAUUGGCUGUCCCCUCUCCUGUCACCUCUGCAGGGAUCCCUGUGCUGCGGAGACAUCUGCCUGGCCAGGAGGGAGCUGAAACAUGGGAGUGCCCACACCAGGAGGAACCAGCCGGCGUUGCAGACAGUACUGGGGGGCUGCAGCCAUCCUGCCACAUGUGCUGAGCCCUCUGCACCCCAACAGCCGCUGUCAGAGAAGGAUUCGCCCCGAGCCCACUGCCCUGCCCUCACCCCAGCACUGCUCUGCGGACAGACCCUAAAGGGGUUUCCAAAAUCUAGGGCCAGACCUUGUCCUGCAUGGAGUAAUAGUGCUGGGGGGGCUGCCCCAGGGUGUGCACACAGAGGCUCCAAGGGAAGCCGAAGCCACCGAGGUUGAUGCUGAUGCAGCCACGUUUGGGCUCAGCUGACGGUGCCCCGCUCCUGGGGGGACACAGUUGGUUCCCCCUAGUGAUGAUGUGGGAUGAUGACCCCUUUCAGGGCUGUUUUGGCAGCAGGAUCCAUCACAGUUUGGCAGCCACGGAUGUGCAAGCUAACAGCUGCUCCGAGACUCUUUGUCACUCUGGAUGCACAGAGAGCGUCCCUGCAAAGGAGCUUGUGUAUGGAGGGGGUGCUAAGGGACGAGCUGGGAGCUCUGCUGGAAGCACUGCACUCAUGCCGUGCACCCACUGUACACAGUGCAUGCACACUGCACACACUGCACAUGCCAUCUAUGGCACGUGCACGCUGCACACACUGCAUGCGGUGCACACCCAGCACACGGUGCACGCACGCUGCACGCUCUGUGCACGCACUAUUCACACACUGCUCAUGCCGUGCACACCCGCAUGGUGCACACCACGGUUGCAUGCUGGCUGCGUGCAGCAGCCCUGUGCUUGCUCAGGAGCACGCCCCAGUUGCACACUGGCAGCUCUGUGCCUGCUCGGGCUGUCCCUGGAUCUGCAGUACUCCCAUCUCCAGUGA